rnacentral:rRNA from 1 species
CAGCGCCUACGGGGGGCAGCAGUGAGGAAUAUUGGUCAAUGGGAGAGAUCCUGAACCAGCCAAGCCGCGUGAGGGAAGACGGCCCUAUGGGUUGUAAACCUCUUUUGUCGGAGAACAAAACCCGGGACGUGUCCCGGACUGCGUGUAUCCGAAGAAAAAGCAUCGGCUAACUCCGUGCCAGCAGCCGCGGUAAUACGGAGGAUGCGAGCGUUAUCCGGAUUUAUUGGGUUUAAAGGGAGCGUAGGUGGAUUGUUAAGUCAGUUGUGAAAGUUUGCGGCUCAACCGUAAAAUUGCAGUUGAAACUG